UUUAAUUGAGUGGAGCUAACGAGUCAAUUUAGGCAUAAACGAGCGUUAGUCGAGUCGAGUCGAGUUGAGUUUAGUUGAGUAUGUGUCAUUUAUUAAUCGAGCGGGUAUCUAUUUUCACGGUCGAACUUUUUUUUUACGAGUCGAGUUCGAUUCAAA